GCCGGUGUAGCUCAAUUGGUAGAGCAACUGACUUGUAAUCAGGAGGUUGGAGGUUCGAGUCCUCUCGCCGGCACCA
rnacentral:tRNA from 1 species